rnacentral:rRNA from 1 species
UACGGAGGGUGCAAGCGUUAUCCGGAAUCACUGGGUUUAAAGGGUGCGUAGGCGGUCUGAUAAGUCAGUCGUGAAAUCGCUGGGCUUAACCUUUGCAACUGCGAUUGAUACUGUUAGACUUGAAUGAGAUUGAGGCAGGCGGAAUGUGGCAUGUAGCGGUGAAAUGCUUAGAUAUGCCAUAGAACACCAAUUGCGAAGGCAGCCUGCUGGGCCUUUAUUGACGCUGAGGCACGAAAGCGUGGGGAGCAAACAGG